rnacentral:rRNA from 1 species
GGGUUGUGAGGUUAAGCGACUAAGCGUACACGGUGGAUGCCCUGGCAGUCAGAGGCGAUGAAGGACGUGCUAAUCUGCGAAAAGCGUCGGUAAGGUGAUAUGAACCGUUAUAACCGGCGAUGUCCGAAUGGGGAAACCCAGUGCAAUUCGUUGCACUAUCGUUAACUGAAUACAUAGGUUAACGAGGCGAACCGGGGGAACUGAAACAUCUAAGUACCCCGAGGAAAAGAAAUCAACCGAGAUUCCCCCAGUAGCGGCGAGCGAACGGGGAGCAGCCCAGAGUCUGAAUCAGCUUGUGUGUUAGUGGAACGGUCUGGAAAGUCCGACGGUACAGGGUGAUAGUCCCGUACACCAAAAUGCACAGGYUGUGAACUCGAAGAGUAGGGCGGGACACGUGGUAUCCUGUCUGAAUAUGGGGGGACCAUCCUCCAAGGCUAAAUACUCCUGACUGACCGAUAGUGAACCAGUACCGUGAGGGAAAGGCGAAAAGAACCCCGGCGAGGGGAGUGAAAAAGAACCUGAAACCGUGUACGUACAAGCAGUGGGAGCACCUUCGGGUGUGACUGCGUACCUUUUGUAUAAUGGGUCAGCGACUUAUAUUCUGUAGCAAGGUUAACCGUA